CCUGCUCCUAGAGAUGUCGCAGGUGUGGCUGCCUUCCGGUGUGCGUCAGUAGGUGGCAAGGAGGAGAGAGGCUAUGUUUAUACUAAGUGCUCUGACCUAUGAACACCUGAACAGUUAGUAGCCUAACAUU
ensembl:snoRNA LOC120094503 small nucleolar RNA SNORA17